ACCCUCCAGAUCCCUUUCCCAUCAGAUCUGCAUACCGAUCUUGUGGUCGAAAAAGGAGGAAAAAUAACAUUCAAACUGGUCGUGGCCUCAUUGUGGGUGCAGUCCUGCCAUGGGAGGGGCUGGUUUGAAGACAGC